CCGACGGUGAGGGAUGAAAGCUGGGGGCACGAACCGGAUUAGAUACCCGGGUAGUCCCAGCCGUAAACGAUGCUCGCUAGGUGUCUGGGAUGGUGCGACCGUUUCAGGUGCCGCAGGGAAGCCGUGAAGCGAGCCACCUUGGAAGUACGGCCGCAAGGCUGAAACUUAAAGGAAUUGGCGGGGGAGCGCUACAACGGGUGGAGCCUGCGGUUUAAUUGGACUCAACGCCGGAAAACUCACCUGGGGC
rnacentral:rRNA from 1 species